rnacentral:tRNA from 1 species
GCCUGGGUGGCGGAAUUGGUAUACGCGCACGACUUAAAAUCGUGUCCCUACCGGGAUGCGGGUUCGACCCCCGCCCCAGGCA